rnacentral:ncRNA from 2 species
CUGACGAAACAGGGGUGCUUCACUGGCAGGCCGCCGUGAGGCUGAGAGAGACCCUUCGCACCCGAUCCGGGUAAUACCGGCGCGGGAAGUUUCCGGAAAGUCUUG